UCUCAUGUGGUCUAAUGGUUACGAUGCCUGCCUUUCCUCUCACGUGAAAGAGCAGUGCAGGAGAAUGGGGUUCGAUUCCUCACAUGAGCG